rnacentral:lncRNA from 1 species
CACUCAAAUGCUCAUCCUUGCUUAAACUAAAUGUUUUCAGUUACGUACGAUCGACCUGAAGGCUCAGACACGAACAAGGAAAAAGAAAAGCUAUUCGAAUGAGAUUUAGUAUGAGUUAAUGGUUAUAGUUAGUAAGACAAUGGAAUCUAUUGUCAGGUAUUGUAAGGAAUGUAUUUGAAGGUCACGUACCUGGGAAAGUAAACUUUGAUGUAUGUAAAUUAAGUUCGAAUUAUAUUAUUUAGUAUUAUUCAGCUUAAAGAAAUGGUAUCGUGGAGAACCGAGUUCGGGUUUCAAGUAUCCGGAUUUGGGGUCGCCAUAUCUAUCAAGGAGAGGUUUGGUCAUCUAAUUGCGCGCCAGUAAGGAGAAAUCCUUAUCGAAAAACCCCCUCUUUCCUGGGAACGGCCUGGUUGUCAUAAUUAUGAUUCUGUAAUAUUAUUUGGGAAUAAUUAAUUAUUGUUUAUAUGAUAAGAAAAUAUUUAUUUGAUGUGGAUAUAAAUGAUGGAUUUAUUUAUUUUAUAUGGUUAUUAAUGAAAGAAUUAAUGCUGAGAUGUUUUAUCAGUAUUUUGUCAGAUUGGAGGUAUUAAAAAUCAUCCGUUUGUGGAUUUCGGAAAUUUUCUGUUUGGAAUUUGAAAAAAUUUCUUCUGCAAAGUUGUAGAGAAUUCAAUUUUGUGUGGAAUGGACAUGAAAUUCGUAUUUUUCUGAUAAACGAGCUAUUUUCUAUGAAUUGUUAAAGUUUCUAAUUAUUGUUUAAAUGAUAAAACAUUUUGGAAAAUUCUAGAAUUGGUUGGUGAGAAAUGUGCUCAAUUGAAUUUCAAAUUUGGUGGGUGGCAAUAGUAGCAGGUAAAGCCAUCAGGUAGCAGGUCAAGUCUGCUUCGGCGUGCUAACAUUUUCCUAUAAAUAGAGGGCUAAGUUAGAAUUGAAAAUCACACCAGAAACAAAGUUUUCUCUCUUUCUCUCUCUAUAUUAUNNNN